AUGUUGGACCCAAGAUCCGAAAUCUACCCCACCAUAGAGUAUCGCCCCAUCCAGCCCUCCGACCUCGAGGUUCUUGAGAAGAUUCAUCUCUCGCUGUUUCCUAUAAGGUACGAGAGAGAGUUCUUCUUGAACGUUGUCAAUGGUAAUGGUGUCAUUUCGUGGGGUGCUGUGGACACUAGCAGAUCGGAUGAAGGCAGGGAUGAGCUGAUAGGCUUUGUGACCACGAGGAUGAUUGCAGCAAAAGAUAGCGAGAUCGAGGAUUUAUUUAGAUAUAACAACUCGCACAAAUAUCUAACACUUCUUUAUAUCCUGACGCUUGGUGUAGUGGAUAGCUACAGAAACCUCGGCAUAGCUUCUUCGCUUGUUCGAGAGGUGAUUAAACAUGCUGCAAGUGUAUCAAAUUGCAGGGGUGUUUAUUUACAUGUCAUCUCAUAUAACCAGCCUGCAAUUAACUUUUACAAGAAGAUGCUAUUUAAGCUAGUCAGAAGACUUCCGAUGUUCUACUACAUAAGAGGGCAGCAUUAUGACUCAUACUUGUUUGUGUAUUAUGUCAAUGGGGGGCGUACGCCUUGUUCACCACUCUUAAACUCGCAUAUUGGACUUUUGCCUCCUUCUGCAACUUUUGGUGUUGCCUCUCGUGAAUACAUUAUUAGGGAGAUUGUAACUUCAUUUGUUGUUGACUUCAGGGCUUUCCUAAAGAUGCUGGUUGGCAAGAUCUGGAGCAAAGAGGAAAAGAGUAUCCCGAGAUGGUCCCGUUGUAAGGAAUCAACCACUCUAUUGACCUCACAGAAUAAUAAUAGUAAUAAUAAAAGGAUCAUAGCUGCUGAAGAUUCAAGAUGUCAUGUGUAA
rnacentral:rRNA from 1 species